rnacentral:rRNA from 1 species
GGCGGCGUGCCUAAUACAUGCAAGUCGAACGAACUUCCGUUAAUUGAUUAUGACGUACUUGUACUGAUUGAGAUUUUAACACGAAGUGAGUGGCGAACGGGUGAGUAACACGUGGGUAACCUGCCCAGAAGUAGGGGAUAACACCUGGAAACAGAUGCUAAUACCGUAUAACAGAGAAAACCGCAUGGUUUUCUUUUAAAAGAUGGCUCUGCUAUCACUUCUGGAUGGACCCGCGGCGUAUUAGCUAGUUGGUGAGGUAAAGGCUCACCAAGGCAGUGAUACGUAGCCGACCUGAGAGGGUAAUCGGCCACAUUGGGACUGAGACACGGCCCAGACUCCUACGGGAGGCAGCAGUAGGGAAUCUUCCACAAUGGACGCAAGUCUGAUGGAGCAACGCCGCGUGAGUGAAGAAGGGUUUCGGCUCGUAAAGCUCUGUUGUUAAAGAAGAACGUGGGUAAGAGUAACUGUUUACCCAGUGACGGUAUUUAACCAGAAAGCCACGGCUAACUACGUGCCAGCAGCCGCGGUAAUACGUAGGUGGCAAGCGUUAUCCGGAUUUAUUGGGCGUAAAGCGAGCGCAGGCGGUCUUUUAAGUCUAAUGUGAAAGCCUUCGGCUCAACCGAAGAAGUGCAUUGGAAACUGGGAGACUUGAGUGCAGAAGAGGACAGUGGAACUCCAUGUGUAGCGGUGAAAUGCGUAGAUAUAUGGAAGAACACCAGUGGCGAAGGCGGCUGUCUGGUCUGCAACUGACGCUGAGGCUCGAAAGCAUGGGUAGCGAACAGGAUUAGAUACCCUGGUAGUCCAUGCCGUAAACGAUGAUUACUAAGUGUUGGAGGGUUUCCGCCCUUCAGUGCUGCAGCUAACGCAUUAAGUAAUCCGCCUGGGGAGUACGACCGCAAGGUUGAAACUCAAAAGAAUUGACGGGGGCCCGCACAAGCGGUGGAGCAUGUGGUUUAAUUCGAAGCUACGCGAAGAACCUUACCAGGUCUUGACAUCUUCUGACAGUCUAAGAGAUUAGAGGUUCCCUUCGGGGACAGAAUGACAGGUGGUGCAUGGUUGUCGUCAGCUCGUGUCGUGAGAUGUUGGGUUAAGUCCCGCAACGAGCGCAACCCUUAUUACUAGUUGCCAGCAUUAAGUUGGGCACUCUAGUGAGACUGCCGGUGACAAACCGGAGGAAGGUGGGGACGACGUCAAAUCAUCAUGCCCCUUAUGACCUGGGCUACACACGUGCUACAAUGGAUGGUACAACGAGUCGCGAGACCGCGAGGUUAAGCUAAUCUCUUAAA